rnacentral:rRNA from 1 species
GACGAACGCUGGCGGCGUGCCUAAUACAUGCAAGUUGAGCGCUGAAGGUUGGUACUUGUACCAACUGGAUGAGCAGCGAACGGGUGAGUAACGCGUGGGGAAUCUGCCUUUGAGCGGGGGACAACAUUUGGAAACGAAUGCUAAUACCGCAUAAAAACUUUAAACACAAGUUUUAAGUUUGAAAGAUGCAAUUGCAUCACUCAAAGAUGAUCCCGCGUUGUAUUAGCUAGUUGGUGAGGUAAAGGCUCACCAAGGCGAUGAUACAUAGCCGACCUGAGAGGGUGAUCGGCCACAUUGGGACUGGGACACGGCCCAAACUCCUUCGGGGAGCAGCAGUAGGGAAUCUUCGGCAAUGGACGAAAGUCUGACCGAGCAACGCCGCGUGAGUGAAGAAGGUUUUCGGAUCGUAAAACUCUGUUGGUAGGGAAGAACGUUGGGGGGAGUGGAAAGCUCAUCAAGUGACGGUAACUACCCAGAAAGGGACGGCUAACUACGUG